GAUGAAGAACGCAGCGAAAUGCGAUAAGUAAUGUGAAUUGCAGAAUUCAGUGAACCAUCGAAUCUUUGAACGCACAUUGCGCCCGCCAGUAUUCUGGCGGGCAUGCCUGUUCGAGCGUCAUUUCAACCAUCAAGCCCCAGGCUUGUGUUGGGGACCUGCGGCUGCCGCAGGCCCUGAAAACCAGUGGCGGGCUCGCUGUCACACCGGGCGUAGUAGAUUUUAUCUCGCUCAGGGCGUGCUGCGGGUUCCGGCCGUUAAAAAGCCUUUUUUACCCAAGGUUGACCUCGGAUCAGGUAGGAAGACCCGCUGAACUUAAGCAUAUCAAUAAGCGGAGGA
rnacentral:misc_RNA from 1 species